AGAACGACUCUCGGCAACGGAUAUCUCGGCUCUCGCAUCGAUGAAGAACGUAGCGAAAUGCGAUACUUGGUGUGAAUUGCAUAAUCCCGUGAACCAUCGAGUCUUUGAACGCAAGUUGCGCCCGAAGCCUUCUGGCCGAGGGCACGUCUGUCUGGGCGUCACGC
rnacentral:rRNA from 1 species